UAUCAAGCAACUCCAGAUGAUAUUACACUAAAUCUGCAAUUGAAUUCUUUGGUUACGCUUUACAAGACUGCGCCGUGCAAAACAGGAGAGAUUCUGUGGAUGUAUUAUCAAGAUUCAGGCCUAUUUAAAGGAUUUAAGAACAAAGGAUUAAAGAAUCAAAGCCUUUGUGAUGACACUACUGUUUAGGUUUGAAUUGUGGUGACAUUCCAGAGGACUCUGAUAUCACCAGGUAUGUUUAAACAUAAACAUUGUUGUUGCCGUGGCAUCUUUUUUCUUUUAAAUAACAGCUGCUUCAAUGGGCUAUAUGCCACUGACAUCCGUUUUAGCACUUCCGCAUCAUUUGGCCACAUUGAUCACUUCCGGUGCGCAGGUAACGAUAGUUCAGCAAUGGCGUUUUUCACCCGGUCGCUGCUGGACUUGCCGGCAUUGACUAUUAAUGAUGUUUACAGAAUUAUUCAGACCUUUUCGAAAGCUCCCACGUCCAAAAACAUCCAUAAAAGACUUCGAAGUUUCAAACAAGGAGGCAGGAGAAGUCACAAUUAGGGCUGAGUGCUUCAGGUCCAUGAGGAAGAGCCAGAAGCCUCAUUGUUUGAGUAUGGCGCUGAGGGGAUGCAAAGCCGGUGGAGUUAUAGGAAUGCCAGUGCAGCCACGUGGCAGCUCUGUUAUUCCAGACGGCCCACUACUCACAGUUGAAGCUUCCAGCUGUUCCUCCAGUCUUAAGCUGCACAGACACUGAACAGAAGUGGCACAAACCAAGGACCAUGAGCAUAAAACCUGGUCCAGUAAAUGACAUGGUCAUCCUGUCAGCAAGACCAAGAGAGAGGAAAAUCUUUGAGGGAAUUAGAAGCACGUUGUAUAAAGGUGCUACCUGCUCUCUGCCAGUCAUCUCCACCCUAAAGAUUAAGGAUAUGUACCAGGGACUUGCUGCUGAAGAAGCACCAUUGAUUACUACAAUGGCUGUCUCCAGUGAUGUUCCUCUUGUUGACUCCAUGUUUGGUCCUGUACAAGAGGGAAGUGUGCUGUCCUAGCAGCUGCCAGCAAGGACCGUUCCCAGGACCCAUCCACACCAAGACGCCCCCUCUCCCCCACAGCUUCCUUUGUCCAAUUACAGGCAUGGACCCUCCACCUGUGCGUAUGUCUGUUCAGAACAUGAGCACCAUCAUAUGGCAUCCCUUGAAACAACAUUUGAGAUGGCUCACAAAAUUGAGAGGAGCACGCGGGAGCAGAGUUUCUGUGCAGAGUGGCACCAACUAAGGAAGUGUCGUGUUACAUCAAAAUUUAGAGAUGUCUGUCACAGCUCUUCUGAAAGUCUUGCCAAAAGGCUUCUGAGAGCCUCCAGUCAGACUGCUGACAUGUGACGGGGGUUUGCACUGGAGCCAAUAGCAGUAGAGGAGUACUGCAGGGUAAGGGAAGUAAACCACUACCCCUGUGGGUUCCUGAUCCAUGCCGAUGCACCGUGGAUGGGGUCAUCACCGGAUGGGAUCAUUUACAACCAGCAUUUGGCCUUUUAGAAAUAAAAUGCCCAAAUGUAACAAGCUAUGUAGGCUGCUCUUACAUAAUGAUUAGGGAUGGUAGACACACACUCAAACAAAUACAUCCAUAUUACUGGCAGAUCCAGGGACAGGUGCUUAUUUCAGGGUGUGACUUUGCCAUAUAUACAGAAAAUGACAUGUUUAUUGAGAGGAUUCCCCGUGACAUUGAAGUAGUUCAAACCAUAAAAGAAAAAGUUGACCAUUUCUUUUAUUUUUACCUCAAUGCUUACCUGGCUUAAGGUGGCUCUGUACAUCUUCUGAACCAUUCAAAACAUAGGUUAAAUAUACUGUUCCAUAGCUGUUCAUACCUGUGUCAUGUUCCUGUUUGUGAUUUAUUGUAAAAUUUUUAAUCAAUUAGCUUUUUUUCUCUUUAAAAUCAGAUGAAAUCAAUUUUGUUUGUAGGAGUGUCUAUAGGAGUGGCAUUUUUGAGCACAGUACAGGAUUAGUUUAUAUUUCAUACUGUUUAUAUAAGCAAAACCACUGUUACAAUUUUUUUUAAUAGUUCAAAGA